GAUGAACGCUAGCGGGAGGCCUAAUACAUGCAAGUCGAGCGGUAGAAUGACUUCGGUUGUUUGAGAGCGGCGAACGGGUGAGUAACGCGUACACAAUCUACCUUUAAGAGGGGAAUAGCCCUGGGAAACUGGGAUUAAUGCCCCAUGGCAUCACGGGAUGGCAUCGUUUUGUGAUUAAAGCUGAGGUGCUUAAAGAUGAGUGUGCGUCUGAUUAGCUAGUUGGUACGGUAACGGCGUACCAAGGCGACGAUCAGUAGGGGGCGUGAGAGCGUGGACCCCCACACGGGUACUGAGACACGGACCCGACUCCUACGGGAGGCAGCAGUGGGGAAUAUUGCGCAAUGGGCGAAAGCCUGACGCAGCCAUGCCGCGUGUGUGAAGAAGGCCCUUGGGUUGUAAAGCACUUUCAAUUGGGAAGAAAGGUUGCGUGUUAAUAGCACGUAGCUGUGACGUUACCUUUAGAAGAAGCACCGGCUAACUCCGUGCCAGCAGCCGCGGUAA
rnacentral:rRNA from 1 species